CCUACGGGAGGCAGCAGUGAGGAAUAUUGGUCAAUGGCCGGAAGGCUGAACCAGCCAUGCCGCGUGAAGGUCAGUGCCCUAUGGGCGUUAAACUUCUUUUGUGCGGGAGCAAUAAUGGUCACGUGUGGCUAGACGAGAGUACCGUACGAAUAAGCAUCGGCUAACUCCGUGCCAGCAGCAGCGGUAAUACGGGGGAUGCAAGCGUUGUCCGGAAUUAUUGGGGUUAAAGGGUGCGUAGGCUGGGAGGAUAGUCAGCGGUGAAAUGCCCCGGCUCAACGGGGGGAAGUGCCAUUGAUACUGCCUUGCUGGAAUGCGGAUGCCGUGGGAGGAAUGUGUGGUGUAGCGGUGAAAUGCAUAGAUAUCACACAGAACACCGAUUGCGAAGGCAUCUCACGAAUCCGCGAUUGACGCUGAUGCACGAAAGCGUGGGUAUCAAACAGGAUUAGAUACCCCUGUAGUC
rnacentral:rRNA from 1 species